AUUGAACGCUGGCGGAAUGCUUUACACAUGCAAGUCGAACGGCAGCACGGACUUCGGUCUGGUGGCGAGUGGCGAACGGGUGAGUAAUAUAUCGGAACGUGCCCAGUCGUGGGGGAUAACGUAGCGAAAGUUACGCUAAUACCGCAUACGAUCUACGGAUGAAAGCGGGGGAUCGCAAGACCUCGCGCGAUUGGAGCGGCCGAUAUCAGAUUAGGUAGUUGGCGGGGUAAAGGCUCACCAAGCCAACGAUCUGUAGCUGGUCUGAGAGGACGACCAGCCACACUGGAACUGAGACACGGUCCAGACUCCUACGGGGGGCAGCAGUGGGGAAUUUUGGACAAUGGACGCAAGUCUGAUCCAGCCAUUCCGCGUGCAGGAUGAAGGCCCUCGGGUUGUAAACUGCUUUUGUACAGAACGAAAAGGCUCUUCCUAAUACGGAGGGCUCAUGACGGUACUGUAAGAAUAAGCACCGGCUAACUACGUGCCAGCAGCCGCAGUAA
rnacentral:rRNA from 1 species